rnacentral:misc_RNA from 1 species
GUUCUUUUGCAGAUAAUGUAAUUAUAAGACAUAAGAUGUACUUAAAACUCUAAAGAUGAUGUCAAAUUAAGAGCAAAAUAGUGUUACCAAUGUAUGCACAUUGAAGGAAGUGUCAAAAUGAAGCUAGAUCUAGGAAAUUGAGUGUCAUGCCCCAUCAGCUAAUCCAAAUCCUGUUCGAAAUUACAUCUAGGCCUACAUAAACUCCAUUUGGAGAUUCAGAACCUAACAUCUUCAUAAUCACAUGAGAAAUUUAGAGAUAUAUAUUUAAUGGAAGACAGGAUUCAGGUUGAAUGUAGGGAUCAAAGAUAGCAGCAACUUGCUCCUUGUUGGAGUCAUUAUGGCUUGGCCACAAGGUCAAGAUGUUGUCUAAAAGGAAGUUGUGUGAUGUUUAGAACUCUAAUAAAGCUUUA